AACGAACGCUGGCGGCAUGCCUAACACAUGCAAGUCGAACGAGACCUUCGGGUCUAGUGGCGCACGGGUGCGUAACGCGUGGGAACCUGCCCUUAGGUUCGGAAUAACUCCCCGAAAGGGGUGCUAAUACCGGAUAAUGUCUUCGGACCAAAGAUUUAUCGCCUUUGGAUGGGCCCGCGUUGGAUUAGCUAGUUGGUAGGGUAAAAGCCUACCAAGGCGACGAUCCAUAGCUGGUCUGAGAGGAUGAUCAGCCACACUGGGACUGAGACACGGCCCAGACUCCUACGGGAGGCAGCAGGGGGGAAUAUUGGAACAUGGGCGAAAGCCUGAUCCAGCAAUGCCGCGUGAGUGAUGAAGGGCUUAGGGUUGUAAAGCUCCUUUACCCGGGAUGAUAAUGACAGUACCGGGAGAAUAAGCUCCGGCUAACUCCGUG
rnacentral:rRNA from 1 species